rnacentral:rRNA from 1 species
UACGUAGGGUGCGAGCGUUGUCCGGAAUUAUUGGGCGUAAAGAGCUCGUAGGCGGCCUGUCGCGUCGGUUGUGAAAGCCCGGGGCUUAACCCCGGGUCUGCAGUCGAUACGGGCAGGCUAGAGUUCGGUAGGGGAGACUGGAAUUCCUGGUGUAGCGGUGAAAUGCGCAGAUAUCAGGAGGAACACCAGUGGCGAAGGCGGCUCACUGGCCCGGUACUGACGCUGAGGUGCGAAAGCGUGGGGAGCAAACAGG